CCGAGAUACGUGUACUUACCUACUAUAUAGUAGCCGAGAUACGUGUAUUUACCUACUAUAUAGUAGGUAAGUACGGGGUUUGGGACGCAGCCGUGCUCUCUUGUUUACCGUUAAACGGUUGAGCGCUGCCGUGUGUGUACGUGUCCUGUCACACAAUGUGGUGAAAACUCUACACGAUGUUAACAGUGUGAUUAAGGUGUGUACGUGUCUGUAAUACACCUCAAUAACGCGACUAAAACAGGAAUACUCCACACGUCUUAAUUCCAUUUGUGUUUACUUCGAGUAUGACUUUAGUCGGAUUAAGGUCAUCAAUAAUCGCCGUUUACAUGCUAGUUUCUUAAUCAGAGUAUCGUCUUAAUAUCGGAUUAUUGUUGUCCAUGUAAACGCACUGAUCGACAGUGUCUCCUACGAUUACUUGAACUGUGACAAAAAUCAACUUUAAAUUCACUCUUGUUUGAGAGUUUAGCAUUUGAGAGUCCACGUUUUGUAAGCACUUGUAUUUAUAAGGGGCUUCUUUUAUCAUCACUUCUUUUAUCAUCCUGUAUCAACAGAUGCUGGUGUUUGAGAAUCCAGUUGGAGUUUGGCAAUCAUAUCAGUAAAGCUCUGCAUCCAUUUUGAGCAAUAUAUGAAUAUACAGAUUUUGAAUGAACCAAACAGAAUUUAGAGGCCUGUGUCUUAAACGCAGAAGGAACUUACAGUUCAGAAAACAUGGCGAUAAAUAAACAAGGACCUUGGAAAAUUAAGAUGGUCACAAGCUCUCAGUCUAUUUGGUAAUAUUAUCCAGGAAGUGUGUGUUGCACCGGGCAUUUCAACCUUUAAUAAGUUUUAAUUUAUUCAAUUAUGUAAGACGCUGUCUUAUCGCUAUUGUUGAUUUUGCUUUCACAGGAGAAAGGAUAAAAAAAAAAAUUUAAAAAAAAGGAAAAGAAAUCCCACUGACAGAAAAUUUUCAAAAACACUGUCAAUAAAUAUUAAAAAUAUGCCAUUAAUGCCAAUGGGUUUUGUGAUAUCCAUGCGCAAUCAAAUCAGCACGGCUUCAUUACUAAUGCAUAAUUAACCAUAAAUCCCGCCCUCUGAACCAACAGAUUUUACUAUACUAUCUAUACUAUUCAAUAGAAUGUCAGAGAGAGAGAAUUUAUACAAUUAGAUAUUUAAUUUGCACUAUUGGCUUAAAUACCACUGGAUAAUGCAUGAAAGCAUUUUUAGCAUGAACAGUGAGCUGCUCCAACACCUGCCCUUAGGCUUCCUCCAUUAUAAAGGAAACAGUUUUCUAGUCAUUUCUUAGUUCUGCUAAACCGGUCAGAAUUCUUCCCUCUGGUAAUCAUCCAGGUGUCACAGAUGUGAUCGGAUGAGGUUUCGAUUAGCCGGAGAUUAGGUUAAAUCACUUCCUUAAAGUGUUCAUGAAAUGGCUUGAAAGCUGUGCUUUUGUUUACACACAUUCUUUUCAGGGAAGGGAAAGGAUAGAGCGUGUCAAAUGGGUUUCGGUGAUUUCCACAACCGCCAACACUAUUUCAGCUACGCCACGCCACCUGUCAAUUCGGAACAGACUCAACAGUGGCUUAGCAAAGAGGAUAAUAAUGCAACCUACAGUUUAAACCGAGCUCAUUUUCAGCUGUGCAAAAUUUCUCACCGCCACUCCCCCCUCCCCCUCAUUGUGACUCGUGGUCAGUUUUCUAGAGCACAUGUCUACGAGCACUUCGCUCCGGGUUGACCCGCAGCAUUUUGUUUACAGGGGUGGGACACAUGUUCUCAUUUGAUUUGACACAAAUCGAAUGAAUCGGGCCCUGCGGUGGCGGCACAGAAAAGAGUUCGUUCUAUCGUCCGGAGAUCGCGAGUUAAAACCUCAGUGACACGACAGACAGGGGCUGGGUUCCAAGAGAGCAAAACUGGCUGUGAUCUCUGGGUGGGAAGGAGGUCUCUCUCUCGCACUCUCGUGUCAAUCACAGCAACACCAGCUAAUCUGUAAGACCAAACCAUAGAGAAAAUAGAGGGAAAUGCCCCCCAAAAAUGUACGUACGUGAUGAAUUGGUAAAAUUGGCCAUUUUCCAGAAAAGUAUCAAAUGUAAAGAAUUUUUUUUUUUU
ensembl:lncRNA